UGACAAUGACCUCCUACCAGCUGUGAAUUUCUCGUCUUCCACUAGUACUAGUAAAAGAGAUUGCUGCUGGCUAAGACUACCCACCGGUGGGGUCUUGAGCCUUGGAGGAGCCUCCCUCGGAGUCAGGAAUCGAGGGGGGACACCGCUGGGCCACUCAGAAGGACCGUUUCCUGGGGACUGAUCAAGAGGAGGGAAGGUCCUAUUACAGCCCAGAGGCCA
rnacentral:lncRNA from 1 species